AGUCUUUUAGUAUAUUAGUGUAUACCCGACUUCCAAUUGGGUGGUUUUGAGGAUUA
rnacentral:tRNA from 1 species